rnacentral:rRNA from 1 species
CCUACGGGAGGCAGCAGUCGAGAAUCAUUCACAAUGGGGGAAACCCUGAUGGUGCGACGCCGCGUGGGGGAAUGAAGGUCUUCGGCUUGUAAACCCCUGUCAUGUGGGAGCAAAUUAAAAAGAUAGUACCACAAGAGGAAGAGACGUGUAACUCUGUGCCAUCAGCCGCGGUAAUGCAGAGGCUUCAAGCGUUGUUAGGGAUCACUGGGCUUAAAGCGUGCGUAGGCUGUUUCUUAAGUCGUGUGUGAAAGGAGCGGGCUUAACCCGCGGACGGCACAUGAUCAUGCGAUACUAGAGUAAUGGAGGGGGAACCGGAAUGCUCGGUGUAGCAGUGAAAUGCGUAGAUAUCGAGAAGAACACUCGUGGCGAAGGCGGGUUCCUGGACAUUAACUGACGCUGAGGCACGAAGGCCAGGGGAGCGAAAGGGAUUAGAUACCCGUGUAGUC